GACGAACGCUGGCGGCGUGCUUAACACAUGCAAGUCGAACGGUAAGGCCCUUCGGGGUACACGAGUGGCGAACGGGUGAGUAACACGUGGGUGAUCUGCCCUGCACUUCGGGAUAAGACUGGGAAACUGGCUCUAAUACCGGAGAGGACCACUGCCUGCAUGGGUGGUGGGGGAAAGCUUUUGCGGUGUGGGAUGGGCCCGCGGCCUAUCAGCUUGUUGGUGGGGUGAUGGCCUACCAAGGCGACGACGGGUAGCCGGCCUGAGAGGGUGACCGGCCACACUGGGACUGAGAUACGGCCCAGACUCCUACGGGAGGCAGCAGUGGGGAAUAUUGCACAAUGGGCGCAAGCCUGAUGCAGCGACGCCGCGUGAGGGAUGACGGCCUUCGGGUUGUAAACCUCUUUCAGCACCGACGAAGCGCAAGUGACGGUAGGUGCAGAAGAAGGACCGGCCAACUACGUGCCAGCAGCCGCGGUAA
rnacentral:rRNA from 1 species